CACGGCGCACGGGUGCGUAACACGUGGGCAAUCUGCCCUCCGAUGGGGAAUAACUCCGGGAAACCGAAGCUAAUUCCGCAUAACAUUCCCUGGACUCCGGUUUGGGGAUUCAAAGCAGCAAUGCGUCGGAGGAGGAGCCCGCGCCCGAUUAGCUAGUUGGUGAGGUAACGGCUCACCAAGGCUAUGAUCGGUAGCUGGUCUGAGAGGAUGGCCAGCCACACUGGAACUGAGACACGGUCCAGACUCCUACGGGAGGCAGCAGUGGGGAAUCUUGCGCAAUGGGCGAAAGCCUGACGCAGCGACGCCGCGUGGGGGAUGAAGCUUCUCGGAGUGUAAACCCCUUUCGACCGGGACGAAUGCCCGCAAGGGAGUGACGGUACCGGUAGAAGAAGCCCCGGCUAACUACGUGCCAGCAGCCGCGGUAAGACGUAGGGGGCCAGCGUUGUUCGGAAUUACUGGGUGUAAAGGGUUCGUAGGCGGUGUGGCAAGUCGGGAGUGAAAUUUCUGGGCUUAACCCAGAACCUGCUUCCGAAACUGCUGUGCUGGAGUGUGGGAGAGGCGCGUGGAAUUGCAGGUGUAGCGGUGAAAUGCGUAGAUAUCUGCAGGAACACCCGUGGCGAAAGCGGCGCGCUGGACCACUACUGACGCUGAGGAACGAAAGCUAGGGGAGCAAACAGGAUUAGAUACCCUGGUAGUCCUAGCCCUAAACGAUCAGGACUUGGGGUGCCACCCGUUCGGGUGUCGUCCCGGAGCUAACGCGUUAAGUCCUGCACCUGGGGAGUACGGUCGCAAGACUGAAACUCAAAGGAAUUGACGGGGGCCCGCACAAGCGUGGAACAUGUGUUCAAUUCGA
rnacentral:rRNA from 1 species